AUCCACCUGACGAGUCCCGAAUGGGACGUAACGCACGUUCUGGAU
rnacentral:hammerhead_ribozyme from 1 species